CCUACGGGAGGCAGCAGUCGGGAAUCUUGCGCAAUGGGCGAAAGCCUGACGCAGCAACACCGUGUGGGCGAUGAAGGCCUUCGGGUCGUAAAGCCCUGUUGUUGGGGACGAAGGGCGAAGGGUUAAUAGCCCCUAGUCUGACGGUACCCUUCGAGGAAGCUCCGGCUAACUACGUGCCAGCAGCCGCGGUAAUACGUAGGGGGCGAGCGUUGUCCGGAAUUAUUGGGCGUAAAGAGCGUGUAGGCGGUUUGGUAAGUCUGCCGUGAAAACCCGGGGCUCAACCCCGGGCGUGCGGUGGAUACUGCCAGGCUAGAGGAUGGUAGAGGCGAGUGGAAUUCCCGGUGUAGUGGUGAAAUGCGCAGAUAUCGGGAGGAACACCAGUAGCGAAGGCGGCUCGCUGGGCCAUUCCUGACGCUGAGACGCGAAAGCUAGGGGAGCGAACAGGAUUAGAUACCCUGGUAGUCCUAACC
rnacentral:rRNA from 1 species